UCCUUUAAAAAUACGUGAGGGCAACUUCCUGUCUAGCGGCCAAUCAGGAGCCACGCAUAGGUGCGGCAUAGGCGCGGCAUAGGCACAGGCUGUAAGCCCGGUUUCCGGCUUAGGAUCAGGGUCUGGUGAAGGGGCAGGAGGCGCCAUGUCGGGCCGCGAAGGUGGCAAAAAGAAGCCCCUGAAACAGCCCAAGAAGCAGGCCAAGGAGAUGGACGAGG